rnacentral:rRNA from 1 species
AGCGAACGCUGGCGGCAGGCUUAACACAUGCAAGUCGAGCGCCCCGCAAGGGGAGCGGCAGACGGGAGAGUAACACGUGGGAACGUACCCUUCGGUUCGGAACAACCCAGGGAAACUUGGGCUAAUACCGGAUACGUCCGAAAGGAGAAAGAUUCAUCGCCGAGGGAUCGGCCCGCGUCUGAUUAGCUGGUUGGUGGGGUAACGGCCCACCAAGGCGACGAUCAGUAGCUGGUCUGAGAGGAUGAUCAGCCUCACUGGGACUGAGACACGGCCCAGACUCCUACGGGAGGCAGCAGUGAGGAAUAUUGGACAAUGGGCGCAAGCCUGAUCCAGCCAUGCCGCGUGGGUGAUGAAGGCCUUAGGGUUGUAAAGCCCUUUCGGCGGGGAAGAUAAUGACGGUACCCGCAGAAGAAGCCCCGGCUAACUUCGUGCCAGCCGCCGCGGUAAAAC